ensembl:ncRNA F55D10.8 ncRNA
GGAAGGAAGUUGUGGUGCAUAUCACUAAAAAGCAAACCAUCGUUUCGUCAAACUAAUCCCAAAGAAA